rnacentral:tRNA from 1 species
GCGAAAAUAGCUCAGCUGGUAGAGCGCAACCUUGCCAAGGUUGAGGUCGCGGGUUCGAGCCCCGUUUUUCGCUC